AGUGAACGCUGGCGGUAGGCCUAACACAUGCAAGUCGAACGGCAGCACAGUAAGAGCUUGCUCUUACGGGUGGCGAGUGGCGGACGGGUGAGGAAUACAUCGGAAUCUACUUUUUCGUGGGGGAUAACGUAGGGAAACUUACGCUACUACCGCAUACGACCUACGGGUGAAAGCAGGGGAUCUUCGGACCUUGCGCGAUUGAAUGAGCCGAUGUCGGAUUAGCUAGUUGGCGGGGUAAAGGCCCACCAAGGCGACGAUCCGUAGCUGGUCUGAGAGGAUGAUCAGCCACACUGGAACUGAGACACGGUCCAGACUCCUACGGGAGGCAGCAGUGGGGAAUAUUGGACAAUGGGCGCAAGCCUGAUCCAGCCAUACCGCGUGGGUGAAGAAGGCCUUCGGGUUGUAAAGCCCUUUUGUUGGGAAAGAAAAGCAGCAGGUGAAUACCCCGCUGUUCUGACGGUACCUAAAGAAUAAGCACCGGCUAACUUCGUG
rnacentral:rRNA from 1 species